CUUUAUAUAGAUACGUAUAAAUGCUAUAUGCAUUAAACAUAGAAAGUGCAUGCAGCCAGAGAAGCAAAUAACAUCCGUGAGAAAUGAAACGUUCGUUGAAUGUGCCGAGCACCGGCUGCGCGUAAUGCAUCAUCAGUGUAAAGAUAGUUAGGCACGUGCGCGAUACGCCCGUACACGCUUCCCGAUUACAUCUUUACUCGGUGGUACCUGUUUGCCAGUGUUAGUGUUACAUAUAUCGAAGCCCUUAUUACCGAGCCCUCUGUCUCUCACGCUCGCAUUGAUUCGCUAUUCCGUUCACGGUAUGUAAUUAUUGAAGCUGCAAACGUGGGUUAAACUACGUUGGAACUCGAUAUAUUGCGUGUUAAUCAAAUUUCAUUUCAAAAUGAAACGUCAUAUUUGAAAAAUGAUAAGUGGGCUUGACUAGUAAUGAAAGACAAACGAGAAAUCUUAAAUGUCCAUUGGCGAACGAAGCCGGUGAUGUACACGAGACCUAUCGAUUCGACGUACAAAGUAUGACUGAGAAUUCAAAUCAAGGUCCUUUAUAUAAUAACAGUCUUUGCUGUUCUGCUCUACCUCUUCCAAACCAUCGUCCUUCUUACGAACGCGAUCCCCGAUCGACCACGCCCCAUUGAGAUCGGAAAUAUAUUUUUUUAUAAAGUCAACAAGGCCACGUUUUCACUGUCUUUCGUGGAAAUGACGCACUUACCGAAGCAUUUGCUCUGGUUAGUGGCCCGGUCGAUGAAGACCUUCGAGGAGAUGACGUUGCCGAAGGGCAUGAACAUCUGCAUGAGCUCGGUGUCACCGAACUCCUGUGGCAGGUGGUAGAUGAACAGGUUGCAGCCCUCGGGUCCUGAGAUAGAGCAUCCUACCAUAUAAAUCAGAGCACAUCUAAACAUCUAAACUUGAAGUAUAAUACUCAAGUUAGAAUGUUAGUCUUUGGAUGAGUUUCCUUCUUCGGUAGAAAAGUUGUUAUGAUUCGGCGAUAGUGAAAAGCGAGAACUUGCGAGUGCGAGUUUCAAUGAAAAUGAAGAUGAAGUUUCGUGAUAAUCGGAUUUAAAGUCUCUCACAUCGUGUCAAACUAUUUUAUGAGCAAAUACAUAGAUCAUUAUAUGGAACAAUCGAUCGGUGAGAGACAAAUAAGAUUUUGAAAUGUAAUGAGAGAGACAAAGUCGAAACAAAGUGAUAUGCAUAUAUAAUAAUGAAAUAAAAGAGAAAGAGACGCGAGAGGUUUCUCGCAAGUGCCGUUCCUUACGAUCCUGAUGAUUCUUUCUCUUUCUCUCGCGCGCACUUUCAAAGUAACGUUGAGUAUUUAUACUUUCAAUUAUACAAACACACAACACAGGGAAUUCACACAACACAAUGACGGACGAAACAAGGGAAUUGGACUGGUGAAUAUUGGAGAAGUCAGACUUUUCUUUGAGUUAACAUCACGUUGAAAAGCGACAAAGAAGACAUCGACAGAAGGAUUAAUACGUGCGCAUGCUCGACGAAGAACGCUUUCCAACGAGUGCCAAGGGGGGAGGGGAGAGGGGGGGGGGGGGAGAGAGAGAAGGGUCGGGAGGAAGUCCAAAUAAGGAUUUAGCUAAUUUCACUGAACUUUAUAACUCCGACGUCAAUUAGCGGCGAUUAUGACCGUAGAAACUUCUGCUCUCUUGCCCAGAGAGCUACCCGACUAACGGACGCAUUUAAGUAAUGAGAUGGCUGCCACUCAACUUUUAGGGCGCUACUCAUCGCGAGCCGCUUGUUACUUUGGCAGGAUCCACCACCUUUGAGAUCUUCCUCUCUUUCUCUCCUUUUCCUUUAUUCUCCUUUCGAGACUUUGGGAAUAAUCCAAAGCUAUGUCGAAUCACGAGCAAGUAUAAUUGUCCACUGGUAGCAGUUCCAGGAACAAUCCUGACACCUCUAUCUUUUUUAUGAUAACCCUCUCUUUAAAGAUCGAAAUGCAAAUACAAUGCUAUACUUUUUGUCAUUUAAAGAGUUUCAAUACUUCCCUUCAUUUACCUAUUUUCCUCUCUCUCUCUUUCUCUCUCUCUCCCGCUCCCGCUCCCCUCCCCUUUCUUUGUUCGCAAAACAGUCUUUCUCAUUAAAUUCCAUCUAAU